ACGUACACUCCUACGGGAGGCAGCAGUGAGGAAUAUUGGACAAUGGGUGGAAGCCUGAUCCAGCCAUCCCGCGUGCAGGAAGACGGCCCUAUGGGUUGUAAACUGCUUUUAUCUGGGGAUAAACCUACUUACGUGUAAGUAGCUGAAGGUACCAGAAGAAUAAGCACCGGCUAACUCCGUGCCAGCAGCCGCGGUAAUACGGAGGGUGCAAGCGUUAUCCGGAUUUAUUGGGUUUAAAGGGUCCGUAGGCGGACUGAUAAGUCAGUGGUGAAAUCCGACAGCUUAACUGUCGAACUGCCAUUGAUACUGUUAGUCUUGAGUAAGGUUGAAGUGGCUGGAAUAAGUAGUGUAGCGGUGAAAUGCAUAGAUAUUACUUAGAACACCAAUUGCGAAGGCAGGUCACUAAGUCUUAACUGACGCUGAGGGACGAAAGCGUGGGGAGCGAACAGGAUUAGAAACCCUAGUAGUCCCAU
rnacentral:rRNA from 1 species